rnacentral:rRNA from 1 species
GGAGUUAUGAAAUGUAGGAAUGUUAAUAGCAUUUCUAUUUGACUAAGGCUCCAGAGGAAGCCACGGCUAACUCUGUGCCAGCAGCCGCGGUAAUACAGAGGUGGCAAGCGUUGUUCGGAAUUAUUGGGCGUAAAGAGCACGUAGGUGGGUUUGUAAGUCAGAUGUGAAAGCCUUCUGUUCAACGGAAGAAUUGCAUCUGAAACUACAAGUCUUGAGUGUAGGAGGGGAGAGUG